GACGAACGCUGGCGGCGUGCUUAACACAUGCAAGUCGAACGGAAAGGCCCUGCUUUUGUGGGGUGCUCGAGUGGCGAACGGGUGAGUAACACGUGAGUAACCUGCCCUUGACUUUGGGAUAACUUCAGGAAACUGGGGCUCAUACCGGAUAGAAGCUCCUGCUGCAUGGUGGGGGUUGGAGAGUUUCGGCGGUUGUGGAUGGACUCGCGGCUUAUCAGCUUGUUGGUGGGGUAGUGGCUUACCAAGGCUUUGACGGGUAGCCGGCCUGAGAGGGUGACCGGCCACAUUGCGACUGAGGGACGGCCCAGACGCCUACGGGAGGCAGCAGUGGGGAAUAUUGCACAAUGGGCGGACGCCUGAUGCAGCAACGCCGCGUGCGUGAUGACGGCCUUCGGGUUGUAAACCGCUUUCGCCUGAGACGAAGCGUGAGUGACGGUAAUGGGUAAAGAAGCACCGGCUAACUACGUG
rnacentral:rRNA from 1 species